ensembl:antisense Gm43403 predicted gene 43403
GCGGCGGGACGAGGACCGGGAGAAGAAGGGGCGCCGCGGCGGGAGGGCAGCAACAGAGCGCUGCGCCACCGAGCGAGUGGACGGUGGUGUCACGUGCCUGGAGGGAGGAGCUGGAAGGCUGGGGAGGAGCGCGCGCUGGCGUCCUCCCCGCUGCAGCCUCCCCCCUCCACUCCCCCGCGGUGCUCCGGAGACCACGUGAGCUUCCCUCCCGGUCUAGCCUGGCCCCCUCGCUGACAACCGGCGCCUCUCGGUUGCCCUCUGGCCUGGCCUUUCGUGUCCGCAGAUCUCGGUUUCCUUCAGAGUCCUGCCUUCUGACAGGUGGCUCGAAGGCGUCCGGCAAGAAGAGCUCAGCUCGGCCUCUACUUGGUGAACCACUUCCCUGAUAAAAGUGUCACCUACCCCACCCCCGGUAGUUUUUUCAUCUUCCUCCACUUCUGUCCUCACCUCUUGUUACCCCUCACCCCCCUCAUCCUGUCUCAUAACAACAGUGGAGCCAAGUUACCGUGGGGAUAACAAGUAAUUUUGUCUACACACAGGAAGCUUGGGAUGAAGCGGUUUUUUAUAAUGAAGUCACCGGCCAUAUUUUUGCGAAGACUUCGCAUCAAUGGGAUGCACCUAUAGCCUAGUGUCUAAAGUUGAUUUGUUGAAACAUUAAAGCUAUUAUGUGUCAGCUUUCCUACACUAAAACAUUUUGCCACAUGACAAAUGUUGGUAAAUGUCAGUGGGGUAACUGUAACAUGAUUCACAAGCAGUUACAGAUGGUUCAUGUAAUCAGUUACAAAUGCUGGGCUUAAAAAAAAAUUGACUUGUACACACGGUACUGUCCUGAUGCCAGCCACUUAGACGUGCAGUUAGUAGAUCUACAGCACCUGCAUUUAUCACUCGCUGCUUGGAGACCAUAAUUAUCUGAGUCUUGCGAAUUUCGCAUUUAUAUUACUUAAUACGUAGCACUUUUCAAUUAAACAUGAUUGUGUGGCCAUGUGGGUGGGCGCGGGUGCUCACCUCAUUACUAUAGUUGUGGAAAUCGGAUGACAACUUGAGUGAGUGCUUUCUUUCCAGGGUUCCAGAGAUAAACUCAGGUAUCAGGUAGUCAACGCUCACACAGCUAGCACCCGUCGAGUUAUAUCACCGGUUUAUACUUUUUACAUAAUUGAAUAGUAAUAUGAAGAGAAUAUUGAAGCGUAAACUCCACAUUAUUAGUACUUAAGUUUGGGAGAUUUUAUGAAAUUAGAGGAACUCUCUGAUACCAGGACAUUAAUGCUAGAGGAGAGAGACUCCAAACAAUAUUGAUUCCGAGGCUUAUUGGAACUAAGGAAUUGUAAUGAUGUCAUCACAUGCCGAAAACAACUGAGGCUCCUGACAUUCCAGCACCUAGAAGGCUGCAUCAGAAGAGUCAUAAGCAGAAUGCUAGUCAACUCUACAACGAUGGCAUUUCAGACACCUAAGGACUGGUCUGCUGUGAUGGUGGCAACCUACAUCCUUAAUACCAGCCCUUGAGAGGCAGAGGCAGGCAGAUCUUUGUGACUUCGAGGCCCACACGGUCUACACAGUGAGUUCCAAGCCAUCUACAGCUACAGACUGAGGCCCUGUCUUCAAAAGAAAAAAAAAAAAAAACAAGUAUAAAGCCAAGCCCAGUAGGCUAGCCCUGGCUUCUGAUGGGAUUUCUUGAUAUUUACCUCCUAGCAUAUGUCCAUUCUCUAGAGAAUUCUGUGUGAGCUUUUCCCCAUGGAAUCCAACUAAAAGGUUGACUUUUCUUCACUGAAGAGUGGUAGCAAGAAUAAACUAGCAAGUACAUGU